rnacentral:rRNA from 1 species
UACGUAGGUGGCAAGCGUUGUCCGGAUUUAUUGGGUUUAAAGGGUGCGUAGGCGGCUUAAUAAGUCAGUGGUGAAAGCCGGUAGCUUAACUAUCGAAAUGCCAUUGAUACUGCUAAGCUUGAGUACAGUUGAGGUAGGCGGAAUUGACAGUGUAGCGGUGAAAUGCUUAGAUAUUGUCAAGAACACCAAUUGCGAAGGCAGCUUACUAAAGUGUAACUGACGCUGAGGCACGAAAGUGCGGGGAUCAAACAGG